rnacentral:rRNA from 1 species
UACGGGGGGAGCAAGCGUUGUUCGGAUUUACUGGGCGUAAAGGGCGCGUAGGCGGCCUCCGCAAGUCAGUUGUGAAAUCUCCGAGCUUAACUCGGAAAGGUCAACUGAUACUGCGGGGCUAGAGUGCGGAAGGGGCAACUGGAAUUCUCGGUGUAGCGGUGAAAUGCGUAGAUAUCGAGAGGAACACCUGCGGCGAAGGCGGCACUCUGGGCCGGUACUGACGCUGAGGUGCGAAAGCGUGGGGAGCAAACAGG